UGUCUUAAACUUAUUUUAUUUUUUUUAAUUUUAAAACAAUCUUAUAUGAUUGUUUAUAUUUGUUUAAAACAGUAUUUACUUGUUAAAUCUGCAUAUUUAAAUAAUUAUGGUAUUGGAAACAUUAUUUUGGAAAUAAUCUAUUAAUUUGUGUGCAUAAGUUAUGCAAGAUUUUGAUAUUUUCAUAUGAUACCAUUAUAUCCAUUUUCUUAAUUUGCAAUAAAAUAAUAAGAUGCCAAACAUGACCUGUGUUACAUAAACAGUCAACAAAAUAACAAGACAAUACCUAAAAACACCCCUUUUCACACCACUAACAAUAAACAGAUAACAAUCUGUCAGGCAUUCAGAGCUAAACAGGGUACUGAUUAUCAGGGGCAGAUAAGGCUACUGAUAGGGUUUGCCCAGACAUAAGGCUGGAAUGAGGUAUAAGACUUUUGAUUGGUUCAAUUUUUUGCACAGGAAAUUAUUUGAAAACAACAACUUUUGAAAAACAAGCUGGUUUCAGCAAUUGAAUUGAGCUAAAUUAAGUUAACAUUAAGACAUAUAAUUGUUCUGUAAAAUGUAUUGAAAUACUGUCAGCAUGAAGUAUUGUGUGAUGAAAACAAUGUGUAUUUUACUACAAUUUGGAAAUCAACAAUAAGUUUGUUGGAAAAGAAGUUCAACUGUUUUUUUUUGGAAUACUGAAGAACAGUUUUAACAGGUUAAACUCUUGCCCCAAGAGCAAAAGGGGUAAUCAUACUACCUGAUGUAUGGACUUUUACACCAGGCUUUUACCCUGAAUGAGCUGGCCAACUUGAGGGGAACUGAAGUGGGCAAACCUCGCCCUGUCCUUGAACAAGAAAGCUGGAUUUGUUGAGAGAGUAUCAUUUAAGCUGAAAUCCAGCAUGAAACCAGGGAGGUGAUGGCCAUCGCACAGGCCAUGUGCCGACCAUUCACUUUCCACCAGCUUGUGACUUGCUCCAUGAAGGGAGAAACAACUACAACUGGGUCACCAAGACCAAGCCUCCCCGCUGCUGAGAGAAAUGCAAUCAUUGAUGUCAUAGCCAAAACCUUUGACAAGCCUAUGGUUGAUGUUGAAGAAAAGAUGAGAGGUUGUUUCAGGCAUCUGCGGCUGAUGCACAAGUAGACUGAAGUCUUUGUAAAUUAAAUGUGCUGUUAAAAUGAUUAUUUAACCAUUGUUUUCACUUUGUUAUAUAGAUUUGCACCUGUUUCAACAACAUUAACUUAUUUUUAUG